rnacentral:rRNA from 1 species
GCAGGCGCGAAAACUUUACAAUGCGGGAAACCGUGAUAAGGGAACACCGAGUGCCAGCAUCAUAUGCUGGCUGUCCAGAUGUGUAAACUACAUCUGUUAGCAAGGGCCGGGCAAGACCGGUGCCAGCCGCCGCGGUAACACCGGCGGCCCGAGUGGUGACCGUUAUUAUUGGGUCUAAAGGGUCCGUAGCCGGUUUGGUCAGUCCUCCGGGAAAUCUGAUAGCUUAACUGUCAGGCUUUCGGGGGAUACUGCCAGGCUUGGAACCGGGAGAGGUAAGAGGUACUACAGGGGUAGGAGUGAAAUCUUGUAAUCCCUGUGAGACCACCUGUGGCGAAGGCGUCUUACCAGAACGGGUUCGACGGUGAGGGACGAAAGCUGGGGGCACGAACCGGAUUAGAUACCCGGGUAGUCCCAGCCGUAAACUAUGCUCGCUAGGUGUCAGGCAUGGCGCGACCGUGUCUGGUGCCGCAGGGAAGCCGUGAAGCGAGCCACCUGGGAAGUACGGCCGCAAGGCUGAAACUUAAAGGAAUUGGCGGGGGAGCACAACAACGGGUGGAGCCUGCGGUUUAAUUGGACUCAACGCCGGACAACUCACCGGGAACGAC